rnacentral:rRNA from 1 species
GACGAACCGAGCGAACGUUGUUCGGAAUCACUGGGCUUAAAGGGCGCGUAGGCGGGUGCUCAAGUCCGGGGUGAAAUCCUCCAGCUCAACUGGAGAACUGCCUCGGAUACUGGGUGCCUCGAGUGUGGUAGGGGUGUGCGGAACUAUCGGUGGAGCGGUGAAAUGCGUAGAUAUCAGGAGGAACACCUGUGGUGUAGACAGCUUACUGGACCACUUCUGACGCUGAGACACGAAAGCGUGGGUAGCAAACAGG